GAUGAACGCUGGCGGCGUGCCUAAUACAUGCAAGUCGAGCGAAUGGAUUGAGAGCUUGCUCUUAUGAAGUUAGCGGCGGACGGGUGAGUAACACGUGGGUAACCUGCCCAUAAGACUGGGAUAACUCCGGGAAACCGGGGCUAAUACCGGAUAACAUUUUGAACCGCAUGGUUCGAAAUUGAAAGGCGGCUUCGGCUGUCACUUAUGGAUGGACCCGCGUCGCAUUAGCUAGUUGGUGAGGUAACGGCUCACCAAGGCAACGAUGCGUAGCCGGCCUGGGAGGGUGACCGGCCACACUGGGACUGAGACACGGCCCAGACUUCUACGGGAGGCAGCAGUGGGGAAUCUUCCGCAAUGGACGAAAGUCCGACGGAGCAACGCCGCGUGAGUGAUGAAGGCUUUCGGGUCGUAAAACUCUGUUGUUAGGGAAGAACAAGUGCUAGUUGAAUAAGCUGGCACCUUGACGGUACCUAACCAGAAAGCCACGGCUAACUACGUGCCAGCCGCCGCGGUAA
rnacentral:rRNA from 1 species